CCGGCCGCUCUGGCCCGAGCCCCAGCCUGGCCUCCGACCCAGCUCCGGGUCGUGGCGCCGCCUGGGGGUCCCUGCGCCCCGGAAAGAGACAGCAGGCACUGGAAAGCGAGGCCGGUGGGCGGGCGAGUCGGGAGGCUCGGGCGGCCGAGGUCCGGGAGCGGAUCCCAGGUGGCGGGAGCUGGUGCCCUGGCAGGAGGGACUGGCUUAUGCCACCCUGUGCAGGAUCGUCUUCUCAGCUUACAGAGCCUAGUGUGAUUCAACAACCCUCCAUCUCUGCCCCCAACAUGCCCAACUGAUCUGGUGGAGGGAACUGAAGAUGAAGGCCUCUCAGGCACCAUGGAUGGGAUGGGUGUGUGUGAAGGGGGCAGGGUCCCCAGGAGCUGCCCCAGGUCUGGCUGGACAGUUGCACGGGAAGUCCUGUUUGUGAACUCAACGUUUCCACGGCUUUUCCAUUAAACUUUAC
rnacentral:lncRNA from 10 species